AAAACUUUGAUUCGUUUCACAGCUUCAGAUUCGCCAGGGUGUCCAACUCCAUCAGGUUCAUUGUUCACUGUGUGUGGCUGAAGUAGUCCAACAUCCAAUGGCAGCACAAGACUGGAGCAGUGGUCUCUGUGACUGCUUUGAAAGCGCGAGUACUUGUUGCUAUGGUUUCUGGUGCUGCCCUUGCCUUGCCUGCACAGUUUCAGAAAGAUUUGGAGAGAACCGUUGUCUCCCAUUAUGUGACAUAUGCAGCCCUGCCAUAUUAUCAGCCUUGGGGAUACCUCUGUGUGCGGCGCCUCCUGCAAUUUUCUACUUUUUAUUAAAGUGGACAGAUUAUGCUUUUC